rnacentral:tRNA from 1 species
GACGAGAUAGCCGAGCCCGGCAAGGCGCAGGAUUGCUAAUCCUGUGGCGCUCUGCGCCUCGGGGGUUCGAAUCCCCCUCUCGUCG